UGAGGAAUAUUGGUCAAUGGGGGCAACCCUGAACCAGCCAAGUCGCGUGAAGGAUGAAGGUCUUAUGGAUUGUAAACUUCUUUUACAUGGGAAUAAAGUGGGGGACGUGUCCCCCUUUGCAUGUACCGUGUGAAUAAGGAUCGGCUAACUCCGUGCCAGCAGCCGCGGUAAUACGGAGGAUCCGAGCGUUAUCCGGAUUUAUUGGGUUUAAAGGGUGCGCAGGCGGGAUGUUAAGUCGGCGGUGAAAGUUUGCAGCUCAACUGUAAAAGUGCCUUCGAUACUGGCCUCCUUGAGUGUGGAUGAAGUAGGCGGAAUUUGUGGUGUAGCGGUGAAAUGCUUAGAUAUCACGAGGAACUCCGAUUGCGCAGGCAGCUUACUAAGCCACAACUGACGCUCAUGCACGAAGGCGUGGGGA
rnacentral:rRNA from 1 species